UUCUCCAAGACCAGGUUUCUCACCCUUUUAGAGGGAUAAGGCCCCCCGCAGACCACGGGAUCGAUAGACCAGACCUGGAAGCCUCGUAAGAGGUGCAGGGAACUGGCACUAACCGGCCGAAAACUUACAACAA
rnacentral:ncRNA from 1 species